GAUGAACGCUGGCGGCGUGCCUAAUACAUGCAAGUAGAACGCUGAAGGAAGGAGCUUGCUCUUUCCGGAUGAGUUGCGAACGGGUGAGUAACGCGUAGGUAACCUGCCUGGUAGCGGGGGAUAACUAUUGGAAACGAUAGCUAAUACCGCAUAACAGUAGAUGUUGCAUGAUAUCUACUUAAAAGGUGCAAUUGCACCACUACCAGAUGGACCUGCGUUGUAUUAGCUAGUUGGUGAGGUAACGGCUCACCAAGGCGACGAUACAUAGCCGACCUGAGAGGGUGAUCGGCCACACUGGGACUGAGACACGGCCCAGACUCCUACGGGAGGCAGCAGUAGGGAAUCGUCGGCAAUGGACGGAAGUCUGACCGAGCAACGCCGCGUGAGUGAAGAAGGGUUUCGGAUCGUAAAGCUCUGUUGUAAGAGAAGAACGAGUGUGAGAGUGGAAAGUUCACACUGUGGCGGUAUCUCACCAGAAAGGGACGGCUAACUACGUG
rnacentral:rRNA from 1 species